UACGUAGGGUGCGAGCGUUGUCCGGAAUUAUUGGGCGUAAAGGGCUCGUAGGCGGUUUGUCGCGUCGGGAGUGAAAACACUGGGCUUAACCGAGUGCUUGCUUUCGAUACGGGCAGACUUGAGGCAUUCAGGGGAGAACGGAAUUCCUGGUGUAGCGGUGAAAUGUGCAGAUAUCAGGAGGAACACCGGUGGCGAAGGCGGUUCUCUGGGAAUGUUCUGACGCUGAGGAGCGAAAGUGUGGGGAGCGAACAGG
rnacentral:rRNA from 1 species